AUGUUCACUUAAACAGCACAUACUCUGAAAUUGGAAUGGUACAGAGAAGGUUAACAUGGCCAAGCACAAGGAUGACAUGCAAAUUCCUGAAGCAUUACAUGUUUUU
ensembl:snRNA U6 U6 spliceosomal RNA